rnacentral:rRNA from 1 species
GAUGAACGCUGGCGGCGUGCCUAAUACAUGCAAGUCGAGCGAACAGACGAGGAGCUUGCUCCUCUGACGUUAGCGGCGGACGGGUGAGUAACACGUGGAUAACCUACCUAUAAGACUGGGAUAACUUCGGGAAACCGGAGCUAAUACCGGAUAAUAUAUUGAACCGCAUGGUUCAAUAGUGAAAGACGGUUUUGCUGUCACUUAUAGAUGGAUCCGCGCCGCAUUAGCUAGUUGGUAAGGUAACGGCUUACCAAGGCAACGAUGCGUAGCCGACCUGAGAGGGUGAGCGGCCACACUGGAACUGAGACACGGUCCAGACUCCUACGGGAGGCAGCAGUAGGGAAUAUUCCGAAAUGGGCGAAAGCCUGACGGAGCAAAGCAGCGUGAGUGAUGAAGGUCUUCGGAUCGUAAAACUCUGUUAUUAGGGAAGAACAAAUGUGUAAGUAACUAUGCACGUCUUGACGGUACCUAAUCAGAAAGCCACGGCUAACUACGUG